rnacentral:lncRNA from 1 species
CUCUACAAUAAAGGAAGAGAGAUCUACGGCUAAAAGAGAAAGUAAAAGGGUGUUUGAGAAUGACUAAAGCCGCCAGAAUUCUCAAUACAGGACCCCCCCUCUCCCGGUUUUCUCUUCUCCUUGACAGACUUGAAGAAAGCUUUAGCGACUUUCUAAGCUUCAGCAGCCAUAAACGACCCGUCCUAAAGCUUAUUCUUCCUCAAAUCCACAGACCCCCAUCGUCGGACCUCCCUCAAGCGUCACCCCUGACUUCACCUUCUUCAACCAUCAACACACCCAUCGUCGCCUUCACCCCAGCCACCGAAAACCAGCUCAACACUUUGAAAUCUCAACGCUGAAGGACAUCAGAUAUCCUUUUCCUCUUUGUCACUUCUAUCUGCUUUUAAGACCAACUUAAUACCAAAGAUUAAUAGCUGUGCUUCUACCAUUUCACACUUGAAAACAAAAUAAAGAAGAUUGAAGAGUUUUCAUUAGAUACAAACAAAAAAAAUAGAGUGAUAGGUUUUGUUCAUGUCUUUCAACAUUUAGGCUUCUUUUUUUUGAAUUUGCAAUUCCGAGCAUGGAUUAUGAUGGAGUUUCAUCGAGUUUGAUUCUGGUGCGAGUUUGAGGUUAUAUUCUCGUCCUUGUCUUUUAAUCGACCUUCAAAAAAGUUUUGUAAAGGCCUGUUUUCUCACAUUAUUGUCCUGUUAACGCAUGAUUCAUGAAUAUAUAAUUUAUUUAUUUAUUUA